UACGGAGGAUGCGAGCGUUAUCCGGAUUUAUUGGGUUUAAAGGGUGCGUAGGCGGAAUAUCAAGUCAGCGGUAAAAAUUCGGGGCUCAACCCCGUCGUGCCGUUGAAACUGAUGUUCUUGAGUGGGCGAGAAGUAUGCGGAAUGCGUGGUGUAGCGGUGAAAUGCAUAGAUAUUGCGCAGAACUCCGAUUGCGAAGGCAGCCUACCGGCUUCUGUCUGACGCUGAGGCACGAAAGCGUGGGUAUCGAACAGG
rnacentral:rRNA from 1 species